GACGAACCGUGCGAACGUUGUUCGGAAUCACUGGGCGUAAAGGGCGCGUAGGUGGCCCGCGCAAGCGUGCGGUGAAAGCCCGGGGCUCAACCCCGGGUCGGCCGUGCGGACUGCGGGGCUGGAGCACUGUAGGGGCGGGUGGAAUUCCGGGUGUAGCGGUGGAAUGCGUAGAGAUCCGGAAGAACACCGGUGGCGAAGGCGGCCCGCUGGGCAGUAGCUGACACUGAGGCGCGACAGCGUGGGGAGCAAACAGG
rnacentral:rRNA from 1 species